rnacentral:rRNA from 1 species
UACGUGGGGUGCAAGCGUUGUUCGGAAUUACUGGGCGUAAAGCGCGUGUAGGCGGCUUAUUAUGUCAGGUGUGAAAGCCCUCGGCCUAACCGAGGAAGUGCGCCUGAAACUGAUAAGCUUGAGUACGAGAGAGGAGGACGGAAUUCCCAGUGUAGAGGUGAAAUGCGCAGAUAUCAGGAAGAACACCCGUGGCUAAGGCGGCUCUCUAGUACGGUACUGACGCUGAGACGCGAAAGCGUGGGGAGCGAACAGG